AUGCAGCGCAAAUGGAGAGUUCCAAACAAUGGAAAGAAGUGGCAGGCUUUGGCUGAGUUUGCAGCCAGCCUCAUCCACCCAUCGUACAAGGAAAUGAAGCAGAAGAUCAACAAGAAAUUGGACCACAAACUAUGGGGGGACAGCCCACUGCCAAACAACAUCAUUGAGUACGCAACGAAAGAUGCGUACGUCACCUACGAGGCAUGGAAGAAAAUCGAAAUCGUCAAAGAAGGUUUGAAGCAAUGGCAAGAGGCGGAGGAUCAUUGGGAUGACCCCUACUACUGGGGAUAUUGA
rnacentral:rRNA from 1 species